rnacentral:lncRNA from 1 species
AUGACAACCUGCGGGCACUUGACAUUGGCUUCCUUGGCAGGGACCAGAUCAGCCUCAUCAGAGUUCUUCCAUUUCAUUAGGAACAUGAGUUCUCCACUGGAGUCCGUAGCUCCAAUAAUCCGCUCUGGUUCCAAACCCCGGGCAAAGCCUCGUGGCUUUUCUGACUCUUCUUUCUUCUUCUUUGGUUUGCUCUCCUCCCCCUUAUCUUCCGAAUCAGAAUCAGCUUUGCGCUUGCCUCCCUCUGAUUUAUCUGUCUCGUGUGCUGUUUUCUGUGACUGCAGAAACUCAGCAAUGAGAUCAGGGCAAUCCAGGAAAUGGGAAGAAGAAUCAGGACUUGGGAUGAAAUUGUGUAUAAAGAGGCACUAGGGUGAGGACUGGGCUUCCCUGGUGGCUCAGGGGUAAAGAAUCUACGCACAACGUAGGAGACAUGGGUUUGAUCCCUGGGUGGGGAAGAUCCCCUGGAGAAGGAAAUGGCAACCUACUCUAGUAUUCUUGCCCGGAGAACCCAUGGACAGAGGAACCUGGAGGGCUACAGUCUUUGGGGGCACAAAAGAGCUGGACACGACUUAAGUGACUAUCAUUAAACUACAACAAUCAACAAAAGGAAGUCAGUGAGCAAGAGGCAGCCAGGACUGGAUUUGGGGAUGGGGACUCCUGGAGAAAUGAUACAAAAGGGACAAGUGAGGCCCAGACUGAUGCUGGUUGCUGUGAGGGAGUUUUCUUCUAAGGACUGUAUGUGAACCUGAGGCCUAGGAGACGAAUGCAGAAUUUUGUUCAUUUUUUUCUGAUUUUUUAAAUGCUCAGAAAUGUUAAACAAGAGAGUUCUGAUUUCAGCUAGGAAACUGGAACUAGUUUCAGAAUCCCGAUAGACAUAUGAACCAGUACCAAAAGGGCACUGAAAAAUGAAUCAUUGUUUGCCUUUUGCUUACUCUGCAUGCUCCUGUCCUGAGAGUCUCUCAUACAAUAGGAGGUUGGUUUGUGAUGGGUUGAGUAGGUAGCUGGGGAGCAGGUUCUGAUUCUAAAAGCAAAACUUCUGAAAGAGUUCACUGCCCUGGACUACAGCACUGGAAAGUCACUGAAGUGCUGACAAACCAGUAGGGACACAUUUUGUUACCACCUUUAUUAAUUCAUUUAUUACCUUAUAUAUAGUAUCUAUGGAGCUUCCCAGGUGGCUUAGUGGUAAAGAAUCCGCCUGCAAUGCAGGAGACAUGGGCUCAAUCCCUGGGUUGGAAAGAUCCCCUUGAGCAAAAAUGGCAACCCACUCCAGUAUUCUUGCCUGGAAAAUGGACAGAGGAGCCUAGUGGGCUAUAGUCCAUGAGGUCACAAAGAGUUGGACAUGACUGGGCACACAUGCAUGGCUAGAUGGGUGGAUAUAGCACCUAUGUCUCACUGAUACCACUCAUAUACUAUCAUGUAUCUAUCUAUAUAUUUAAAAAUUGUAUAUAUAUAUAUAUAUAUGUAUUU